CCUUUCUAAGUAAAUAAAGACAGAUGCAUACUUAAGUCGCUUAAAAGCAAAAUAAUAUUAGUGCAACCGGACCGGAGUCUGGCUAUUAGACCCAUUAUUUCAACUUUAAUUUUAAUAUCAUACUCCUUAACGAUUGGUCAGAUGCAGUUUUAUUUUAUGAAAAUGAGUAAAAUAUAAUCUCCCGUUUUGGUUUCAUUUACUUUUUCAUCUGCGCCAUGCAGGAGUAUCGAAUAUCGAAACAGAUCGAAUCGCAUUGAAUUGAGUGCAGCAUAUAUAACGCAAUACGACGUGCAAAUUCAACAUAUCUCAUCUUGCUAUAGAUCGAGUGAACGUUCGGCGUGAACCGCGCUUGCACGAUUGCAUUGUCUUAUCAUCGACAUCGUUAAACGACAGAAAGGACGUAGAAAAGAAAUUUGGUUGAAGCGUGUUGUCAAGUGACAAGUUUAUGAGAAACAAAGUGCAGGAUGGAAAGUGAACAACAACGACAACAGAGUAGUAACGUGUCGAAACCAAAGGAUAGGUUAGUCGGCCUAUUGGAUCAAAUUGAGGUGCACGUAGAACAAUUGAGAAAAGAUGCUUCUAGACUCGAGGAGGAAAAGGAUAGUCUGCUAACGACCUUGGAUACUUUGCGGAAUAAUGACAUCCUGUGUACUCUCGAAGAAUCUGAUAGGGAUGAUGUCUUAAGGUAUGCCGAGAGACUAUCCAUGCGAUGUUUGACUGUAGAUGUAUUAGUAAAAGUCCAACGUGACCAUAUACAGCAGGAAGCGCUACAUCAAGUUAACGGCUUAAUUGAUGGCUUGGUUGUGGGUUUGCGUCAAGAUCCCAGUGCUACUCGGCAAAGGUGUGCAGAAUUUAUGAAUGCGUGUUCCUCCCAUGGUACAGGACAUUCUGAUAAAACUUUUGAGACUGCCAUUCUCGGAUGUACAAUGGACGAUCAGAAACGUAUAAAGAAGAGGCUGCAGGGACUCCUAGACUAUAUAGAUAAGAUGCACAUUUUGGAGUUACAGUGAAAUCAUGGUCGAAGAAAUGAAAGAAAUCAUGUAACAGAUAAAUCUAACGAUGUUUGCGCAUUUUCUGUGUGGAUUUCAGACGACAAGUUUUCUGAUAAAGCUAAGACACUUGUACUUACAACAGAGACCUGAUGAUGAUGUUAUCUUGAUGAUUGUAGCAAAUUUAGGAAAGAAUACUUGGACGUAUCUCCAGCAAAUUACAUUCGUUGCAUCUCCAUUAUGUGGCUACGACUUAUCGAUCAUCUCUUCACUUGACAAGUAAACUAUUAUGUGAAACUACUCUACUGUAUGUAUAGAACAAGCAACUGGAUUUAGUGACAUAGCAGAUAGGAUGCUGUCAACAGUAUCUUCCAGUUCAAGAUUUUAAGAAAAAAGUUACCUUAAGACACAUUUAACAUCCCAGCGCACCAGCAAAAAGUUUUAUGCUCAGUUAUUCAUCACGUCUGCUCGGCGAUAUUUCAUCCGUCGAGAGCAUACACGAGAGAGAUGAUAUUAUGCUUUUGGUAUUUUUUCGCCAAGAAACACGUGAUCAAUUCUGCUGAGGAACAUUAUACGGAAGAUGAGGCAAUAACCCGAUGGAUGUUUCCUCUCAGAAUAUACAGCGCAUCCUGCGUAUUUCAUUUAAGAAAAAAAAAAUAAAAAUGACCUUCGGAUCCUCGAGGCUACGUCGAAAAAAGUCUACAAAAAAGAGAGAGAGAGAGAAGAAGAAGAAUGUGGGGAAAAAGCGUUACCGCCACGAGACGGCCGCUUCGGUGUCGUGUAAUUCCAGUUAGACCAACGUCUCUCCUACUCGGGAAGACGUUCAACGUGUACUGGGCUCUGGUUCCUAAAAUAUAAGCAGCGUGCAUAAAACGGAAGGAAAGGAAAUGAAGGCAGGAUGUGCCGGUUGCAAAAUCCCACAGUAAUUUCGCCGCUAUGAAAUUCUGCCCGUGUGCGGAGCGCGCAGGUCUCGUUAGAAAAAUUUCACUCGUCGUUUACGCGCAGCCCCGAGUCCUCUAAUUUCAGUGCCGAUUAAUUUCAGGUUUCUCGCUAGUCUCAGCUUUAAUUGGAACGCUGCCCGCAAAUUACGCGACCUACCGGCGAAGCGAGUGACUGAUGGAUGCCGAAGCGCGUGGCAUGCAACGAGAGGGACGAAAUCUCCUUUUCAUAUUGACCGACAUUACACAUCCCCGGCCGGGGGGGGGGGGCGUCCGGUGGGGGAUACGAGAAGUAUCCCACGAUACAGCUCGCGCCGGCGCGAUUAAAAUCGGCUCUUUCUCAGGCACCGUCGUUCGAGCUCAUGUGCAUGCACGUAGCGGUAUAAUAAUCAGCGGCGAAUAAUCAGCUCGGCGUGCAAUAAUCGAAGCGGCUUAACUUAACGCGUAGCGUUAGGUCAGCGCCGGUCAGCUAGCUACUUCAGCGAGAAAUAUUCGCGGAAUUCACGGCGAAAAUGGGCCAACCCUUCGAUGAGCGAAAAUAACGAACGAUUGAUGAGCGUUUAAUUAAUAAACGUCACUAAUCAGCCCGGCGUGCGAUAAUCUAAAGCGACUCGCCGGUUGGCUCUCCCCGCCAGCGGGAAAUAUUCGCGAAAUCCGGCAAAAAUGGCGUGAGUCCGAUCGGUGGACAAGUAACGAGCGAUUGAUCAAAGAUUCCGCGAAAUUCGCCGUCGAUUUAGCCGGGCUUUUCUCUCUCGCUGCGCGAAUGACGCGCUCGUUGAAUAGUAAUUUUCAGCGUAGCGCGACACGAUAUUGCCGGUAAUUCACUCACUCGAUCUCACGCUCCAGGAAGUCAACGCCGAUGGUCUUCUUGUAAUCCCUCGUGUAUGUGCCUUUGCAGAACCUUUGGAUCAUCGACGACUUCCCCACGGCGCCGUUGCCUACUAUCACCACCUGAGCAAGAAAUGUUAAAUCGCGCGUCAGAUGUACCGUUCAUUAAGGGGGCAUCGAGCAGGAGAGCAUCCAUUAAUCGAGAGAUCUGAGCGUCGCCUCGGCUUAUAUCAAAUCCACACGAUGAUAGCGACGAGGACGGUCGAUCGAUCGAUUCGCGGGCCGAAUAAUUUCACCGAAUACGAGCGACGCCGCGAGUGCCGGGCGAGGUAGGAAGUGGGUUACGCCGAUAAUAAAACGAGGAAUAAAGCAAGACGCAAGUCCGCGGAAGGAAAAAAACCGGUCGUCACGAGGACGGUCUCUCGCUUCAGCGGACGCGGUUUAGAAUGUACACCGACACAUGCGUAAAUCAUCGUACGGCGAGGAAUCUCUGGAAUGCUCGUUGUAUCCGCAUCGAAUCGGCACGACGUUGAAGCGGCCGACACACGUCGUGAGUGAACGCGGCGCUGAUCCUCCCGUCGGAGAGACGUCACCUCCGAGCGAGAUAAGAAGUCUCCGACCGAUGAGACCGCGGCUAGAAGAAGAACGGCCGUCGCGGUUCCGGCACACCCUGUACAAAUAAGAGGAAAGGACACAAACGCCCGACGGUGGAAGGUGCAUACAUACGCGAGAAUGAAAAUGCGAGCGAGUACCGUUACGGCAAUCGCCAGAUAAGCAGAGAGAUCACUGGAGCAGCACCGAGCUCUCGCGUACCGGCGAUUGGCGGCGCCCCGCGGCUCCUUCGCCUCUGUUUUGAAUUCGCCACCUUUCGUCCGUCAUUGCGAAGUGCCCGCGUGCUCGCGAGAUCUCCGGGCGAUCACACCAAAUGGAGAUUCUCGUCGGGGACGAGCCGCUGUGGCAGGCAUCGAAAUUAAUAUCGAACGUUAUAUUAUGCGCGGGCUCGUGAGCAACGUCCGAUGAUAUAUACAUCCUGCGCGUCGCAGCCAAAUGAAGCGAGUGGACGUCGUCGCCCGACGACGAGUGUGAAGGUGAUUUGCAUAGAAAUACCGCGGCAGGACGGGCGAAUUUGCGAGUCAAUAUCUCAGACGAACGAGUAAACGGUUCAGUCGCAGAGGUAAACCUCUGCGUCGCGUAUUAAUAGUCCUUGCUCGAGACUCGUUUCGCGUGAGAUACUCAGACCUGAAUGCAGACUUGGAUCUGAAUCUUUUUAUUCGAGGAUCGCGUGAUACAUGCGAUACGUUACAUUAGCGAUCGUUAGGCUAGGUUUCAGCUAGCGUCUGAACGUACACAGUUAGGUCCGUGUGUCUUCUCAUUUGAAUCGCGUUUAAAGCGUAUGAUUUACGUCGACGUCGCAUUCGCGAUCGCGGAUCAGUUGAGAAACUCGCAUCUCUAAUUCCGAAGUCCACACGCAGAGAGAUCGCGUCGCGUUGUAAUUUCUAUUUUUUACUCCACGGGGACAACCGUUCCAGCGGAAGACGUCGUCGUCGGGUAGCCGGCAGCUGGCGGGAGCAAAGACGAGAGCGAAAAACGCGCCGGUCAAUCUCCGUCCGGACGCGGAAUAAUUCCCCGCCGAGUAUCAUCGCUCGGCACGAACGGGGCUGCGUGGAAGAAGCUGCCGUCCUGCUCCUUUUUCCUUCCUCUUUUUGCCACUCGCCGGAAAAUCGUGGCGCGUGAGGAUGAGAGACGCGGCGCACGGAGCGGCUGAAUAGAAGAGAAUAGAGAGAGAAUAGAAAAGGGGAAACCGGCCAGACCCGGAGGAUCCGCUCGUUCCAGCGGCGGCAUCACGGCGCGCGCGUGUCCGCCGAACUUUCGGGACACGAUAAGGACACCGUGGCUCGCGCGGCGGUUCCGAAGGCGAGACCGGAAUGAAAGAGAAAAGUGAAAGAUCGCGCGGCGAGCGUGUACUCACGGAGCGAAAAAGAAGCGCAGCGCAGUCACGCGAUUACCUUGAGUGAUAUCUCGAGCUCUUCCUCCCGCAUCCUGAGCGCAAAGCCAAUUAGCAUAAUAUCCCACUACACCACCACGAAUUCAUGGUCCAAUCGAUCCGAUCGGCCUACGUGUGAAACGCGGAUCACCGUGGAUCCGCUCGCGCGUGUGAAAACUCGACUUUUAACCGAAAGCGACGGAAGAAUCUUGGAUAGAGAAAGAGAGGGAAUAAAAAUGAGAGAGAGAGAGAGAGAGAGA